rnacentral:rRNA from 1 species
GGCCUAACACAUGCAAGUCGAACGGUAACAGGAAGCAGCUUGCUGCUUCGCUGACGAGUGCGGGACGGGUGAGUAAUGUCUGGGAAACUGCCUGAUGGAGGGGGAUAACUACUGGAAACGGUAGCUAAUACCGCAUAACGUCGCAAGACCAAAGAGGGGGACCUUCGGGCCUCUUGCCAUCGGAUGUGCCCAGAUGGGAUUAGCUAGUAGGUGGGGUAACGGCUCACCUAGGCGACGAUCCCUAGCUGGUCUGAGAGGAUGACCAGCCACACUGGAACUGAGACACGGUCCAGACUCCUACGGGAGGCAGCAGUGGGGAAUAUUGCACAAUGGGCGCAAGCCUGAUGCAGCCAUGCCGCGUGUAUGAAGAAGGCCUUCGGGUUGUAAAGUACUUUCAGCGGGGAGGAAGGCGAUAAGGUUAAUAACCUCGUCGAUUGACGUUACCCGCAGAAGAAGCACCGGCUAACUCCGUGCCAGCAGCCGCGGUAAUACGGAGGGUGCAAGCGUUAAUCGGAAUUACUGGGCGUAAAGCGCACGCAGGCGGUCUGUCAAGUCGGAUGUGAAAUCCCCGGGCUCAACCUGGGAACUGCAUUCGAAACUGGCAGGCUAGAGUCUUGUAGAGGGGGGUAGAAUUCCAGGUGUAGCGGUGAAAUGCGUAGAGAUCUGGAGGAAUACCGGUGGCGAAGGCGGCCCCCUGGACAAAGACUGACGCUCAGGUGCGAAA